CGGGGAUAGCCUUUCGAAAGAAAGAUUCAUACCCGAUAGUAUAGUAUUUCCGCAUGGUUUCACUAUUAAAGAAUUUCGGUUAUCGAUGGGGAUGCGUUCCAUUAGAUAGUUGGCGGGGUAACGGCCCACCAAGUCAACGAUGGAUAGGGGUUCUGAGAGGAAGGUCCCCCACAUUGGAACUGAGACACGGUCCAAACUCCUACGGGAGGCAGCAGUGAGGAAUAUUGGUCAAUGGACGAGAGUCUGAACCAGCCAAGUAGCGUGAAGGAUGACUGCCCUAUGGGUUGUAAACUUCUUUUAUACGGGAAUAAAGUGGAGUAUGCAUACUCCUUUGUAUGUACCGUAUGAAUAAGGAUCGGCUAACUCCGUGCCAGCAGCCGCGGUAAUACGGAGGAUCCGAGCGUUAUCCGGAUUUAUUGGGUUUAAAGGGAGCGUAGGCGGGUGCUUAAGUCAGUUGUGAAAGUUUGCGGCUCAACCGUAAAAUUGCAGUUGAUACUGGGCGCCUUGAGUGCAGCAUAGGUAGGCGGAAUUCGUGGUGUAGCGGUGAAAUGCUUAGAUAUCACGAAGAACUCCGAUUGCG
rnacentral:rRNA from 1 species